ensembl:misc_RNA 7SK 7SK RNA
GUGUUUGGGGACUCAGCUCACUGAUUGCCAAGUAUGAUCUAGCUAAUCUGGCUGGCUAGAUGGUCCUCCCAAAACUGCUCAAUGCUCAAUGCUCAAAGUCAAAGAGGAUGACUCUCCCUGAAUAAAGAUGGGCCUGUUUUAGGUGCAGAGCAGACAGUACAUACACUAUCCUCCUAGAACCUUCAAAUAUGUUCUCUAGUAACAAGGUCACAAAAGCAAACACAAACAAAUGGGACUAGAUCAAAUAAAUGUAUUCUUCACAGCAAAGAAAAAUUGAUAUUCUAUU